AUCCCUUCGGGGACAUCCGGUAUUAUUGGAACGAUACAGAGAAGAUUAGCAUGGCCCCUGCGCAAGGAUGACACGCACAAAUCAAUGGUCCAACUUGUUUUG
rfam:Triticum aestivum genome assembly, contig: Triticum_aestivum_CS42_TGACv1_scaffold_404550_5BL